GACGAACGCUGGCGGCGUGCUUAACACAUGCAAGUCGAACGGAAAGGCCCUGCUUUUGUGGGAUGCUCGAGUGGCGAACGGGUGAGUAACACGUGAGUAACCUGCCCUUGACUUUGGGAUAACUUCAGGAAACUGGGGCUAAUACCGGAUAGGAGCUCCUGCUGCAUGGUGGGGGUUGGAAAGUUUCGGCGGUUGGGGAUGGACUCGCGGCUUAUCAGCUUGUUGGUGGGGUAGUGGCUUACCAAGGCUUUGACGGGUAGCCGGCCUGAGAGGGUGACCGGCCACAUUGGGACUGAGAUACGGCCAAGACUCCUACGGGAGGCAGCAGUGGGGAAUAUUGCACAAUGGGCGGAAGCCUGAUGCAGCAACGCCGCGUGCGGGAUGACGGCCUUCGGGUUGUAAACCGCUUUCGCCUGUGACGAAGCGUGAGUGACGGUAAUGGGUAAAGAAGCACCGGCUAACUACGUG
rnacentral:rRNA from 1 species